UGUGCUGAAGGAGGACGCGUUGCUGCAAGGGCAAAUGUGCACUAUGAGUGCAUGUGCUGUUACGGGCCUAGAUAUGGGCACGAAUGUAUUUUUCGGUCUAUGCAUCUGUGCGUUCAGACAUAAGCAUUAGAAGUCUGAUGAUAACAACAACGAUGUGGUCCUUGGUUGUGAAUUCUUGUAGCGUCGAGGCAUGCCCGAGUGCGAAAAAAAGAGGGAACGGCGAUGGCAGCAGCAAGUACUAGCUAGCCUACAGCCAGAAGGCCAAAAAGAGCACAGACGAGGAUGAUCUCAUCCAUCACGACAGAAAGCCACAUCAACGCGUACUGUACACUAGAGGAUUGAGGGAUAACAUGCAACAAGCUAGUUUUAGGCUUGUCUGGCUUAACCACAGGCUGUGGUAAAGUGCGGUUGCCGUUUUGUGAAAAAUCUGGCUUCUGGCUGAACUACCCAUUAGGUAGCUUGCACUUGGCACGAAAAGAAAUGCUGACCAAAGAAGGAAAAGCAAUAUAGUCUUACAGAGUGGGCAAAGUUAUCGAGCUACGAAGAGCAGGGGCCGACGCAAAAGCAGUAACUCGCUGCUGGGUCAAUGCAAACCCCCUAACAGAUGCCGUUAUGCCACUAUUAGUGAGCAUAGCGGAAUGAAGUUUUAUGUGUGCUUUGCCGCCUUCGAGUUGAGCUGGAUCGAGCGGAUGGCGCCAUUUUAAAAGGGAAAGAAUACACAGUCAUAAUGGCUGCUUCCGUCGAGGCCGCAGCAGUACGAAAUUCUCCAAUGUCCAGAUUCCAGCGUGCACGUAAACGGAGAUUAGUGAUUAUACAGGGACUAAUGUGCUGCGUGGAAAGGUGAACGUAACUUUAUCAGCAAGCGCCGCUUUCCGCUUGUACCUUAAUUUCUCCAAUCGCAAGCAGCAUUCACAGUCAACAUGCGUAUGACAUAGGUACGUACAGAACGUGGACUCUUUUCUGUUCGGGCGUUGAUUGAAAAGGCGACGCGAGUUAUUUAAAGGAUUCUAGCAUGAAAGCAUCUCACGGGAAGUGUAGAAGAGGAUCGUUGUUGCGGUUUAUAUGAACGGACGCUCAAUGUUCACUAUUGAAAGUUUGAUCGAUUCAUAAACGGGUCACUCUGUUUUAGUACAGAUUCCCCUAGCUAGAACCUUCGCUUACCUCAACCAAAAGGGAGACAAAGCUUUU